GCUGAGGACAGAGAACGUUAGUACUGAGGAGCGAGGAGGGAGGGCUGAGGAAUGAGCCACAAGGGGGAGAUUGCAACAGGAUAAAUAUGUGGCAGCAUGGAUCACCCAAGUAAUAUGAUCCGGCUGCAGGCAGUGUGACAAGGGAGGAGCGAGCACCAAGGGAGCU